UACGGAGGAUGCAAGCGUUAUCCGGAAUGAUUGGGCGUAAAGCGUCCGCAGGUGGCUGUGUAAGUCUGCUGUCAAAGAGCAAAGCUCAACUUUGUAAAGGCAGUAGAAACUACACGGCUAGAGUGCGUUCGGGGCAGAGGGAAUUCCUGGUGUAGCGGUGAAAUGCGUAGAGAUCAGGAAGAACACCGGUGGCGAAGGCGCUCUGCUAGGCCGCAACUGACACUGAGGGACGAAAGCUAGGGGAGCGAAUGGG
rnacentral:rRNA from 1 species